rnacentral:rRNA from 1 species
CCUACGGGAGGCUGCAGUGGGGAAUAUUGGACAAUGGGCGAAAGCCUGAUCCAGCCAUGCCGCGUGUGUGAAGAAGGCCUUCGGGUUGUAAAGCACUUUCAGUGGGGAAGAAAGCCUUGGGGCUAAUACCCUCGAGGAAGGACAUCACCCACAGAAGAAGCACCGGCUAACUCCGUGCCAGCAGCCGCGGUAAUACGGAGGGUGCGAGCGUUAAUCGGAAUUACUGGGCGUAAAGCGCGCGUAGGCGGUCUGAUAAGCCGGUUGUGAAAGCCCCGGGCUCAACCUGGGAACGGCAUCCGGAACGGGCAGGCUAGAGUGCAGGAGAGGAAGGUAGAAUUCCCGGUGUAGCGGUGAAAUGCGUAGAGAUCGGGAGGAAUACCAGUGGCGAAGGCGGCCUUCUGGACUGAAACUGACGCUGAGGUGCGAAAGCGUGGGUAGCAAACAGGAUUAGAUACCCGUGUAGUC